ACAUUCCAUAUUAGAAGAAUUGUUUUCUAAAGAAAACUGCUUCCUGAUGUUGGCGCAGGUGGGCUCUCUGUGAUAUCUGCGGCCAUGGUAGUCCAUUUUUCCUACUAACUUUGUUAAUGUCCUGAGAAAAACUAGAAAUUUGAAUAGGAUAUAAAGAAUAGGAUUUCCCAGAAGAAGAGACAUUUUUAUCCCAGUAAUCGACAAUAAAAUGGGGUGUAGAGAGAUGUAUCCAGAGCUGCACAGCUAGUGGACGUCUGAGCAGGAGCCACAUGCAGAAGAGUCUGACUCCAGGGCCUCAGCGUGUAAUGCCCUACACCUGUCUUUUUCCUUAGAGCAUAAAACUAAACUAACCUAAUGUUUUUUUUUUUUUAACAGUGCUGUGUUUAGUCAUUCCUCCCAAUGCCAGUGAUCCCUUAAAUCUGGGUGUUGUCCAUCAUCAUCCCUGCCCGUCUCCGUGCAUCCACAACUGCCACAUCCUGAGAGCUCAGUCCAUCAGGGCAAGUUCAUCAAACUGUGUGCUUAGAAGCUCUGGAGCAGAACUCUCACCCACCAGAAGAUUGCCUCAAGAGAUAAAAGAUGAUUUACAACCCAAAGUAUGCCCACUAGAGGUUUUGGCCAUUUUUACAAUGUAUUCCUGCCCAUGAAGAUGCCAACUUGACUGCCCAAUACAUAAAGCACCAAAGCAGAAUCUGUUUGGAACAAAGACUCGCAGAGAAGCAUACCUCUAGAUCAACCAAACG
rnacentral:lncRNA from 1 species